GACCUCUUGUAUAAAUGCAGUGCACUAGGCCGACGAAAGCAAAGUUUUGAACUUUUACUGACAAAGAUACAAUCUUGGCAGUCCUGAAACCGUUAGUUUGUGGUUAACAAACAUUUCGAGAUUUGACUUGGAAGUUGAAAAGAAAAUACAAAGUUGCAAGGAAGAUGAAGAUCGUUCAAGUGCUUGUUUUAGUAUUUGUUAUAAUGUACCUCGAGGAGACAUGUCAUGGCUAUGCGGGUGAAAAGCGAAAUUCUUGCAGUUGUAGCAGUAUAGCUGGAACGUGCUUUACAACUUGUCCAGCAGGCUACAGGGAUUGCGGUUCUGGUGUCCCUUCGACCUGUGACCCUGGUCAAUUAUGUUGCUACAAUAAUUCAUCCAUUUCUCGUGGUUGACAGUCCCUAUAUGUUAAAUGCCUUGUUGAUUAUAUUCAUGUUCGUAACGUAAA